ACCAGUUUUAGCUAGCUGCGGGAAUGAAGAGAAGUCAUUUAACCUCUCUGGACCUCAGCUUUCUCAUUUGUAAAGGGGGGGGGGGAGCGGGGAGGGCUGAUGCGACAAACUAGAAAUACCGCUGCUACUGGUGUCCUAUGAUCUUCUAAGACCUGAGGAGCAUUGACAGCCUCAGCCUUGUCCCCCUCCCCUUAUUCUCGCUCUGUGCUCUGAAGCCUCCGCCUGAGCAGCACAGAUGCAACUCCAAAGAGGCUCGCUUUCUGCUCUCUCUCCCUCUUCCCCUCCCCCCUCACACACACACACACACACACACACACACACACACACACACACACAGCCUCCUUGCCCCAUGUACUGUGCAUCCCUGGACUCCCAAUCAUCCAUAAAAUUUGCUGUGGUUGGGAAGGAGCCUGGGGCCAGGGCACCCCAACAGAAAAGCUGACUCUGUGUAUUUCUGCUAACAGAAAAAAAAAGAAGAAAAGCCUAGCUGAGCUGGAGAGCGGGGCACCAAGGCACAAAGUUAGCACUGGUAAGGACUUGCCAAAUGGGGAGAGGGAGCAUUGGGAACGGAAAAGAGCCAGGAAAGGUGAAGAGAGAGAAAGAGAAGGCGCAGCUCAGCUGCAGGGGACUCACGCGGAGAGUGAGGAGUGAAACGCGCUGACAGCCUUGUCAGGAAAUCACCUCGAAGCAUCCCACACCCUGGUCUGUCAGUUCCAUCUCCCCAGGGGAGGAGCCCCUCUUGAAACUGACAUUUCCAAGCAAGUGCCCGUGGAUGCUUCCAAGAUGGUGAUCUGGUUAUUUCCAGGGCUGGAGUCCUCAGGGACCUCUUUUCAUGUUUGGCCAUUUCUGGUUGGCUCUCAUCCAGCUGCUGCCUGCCUGCUGCACUCCAGGCCAACUGGGAGCAGCAUUCUACAGGAUCAAGGAUCACAGGAACACCCAAUCGUUGGCCCUGGUCCCCUAGAAGCUUCAGGCCUUCACUGGUGUCCAAUGGGCCUGAGGGGGCAGAAUCAGGCCCAGGAAGAUGGAUUUCCCCGGUCCCCUCAGCCCCAACCCAGCAGGGGAGGGAGAAGACUGCUUCAUUAUGUUUAAUGGGAUUAUUGGGGGGGAUAGUAGUCAUGGGGCAUUAGCUGCUAAUUGGGUCCAUAAUAAAGUUAAUAAAGCUCUUA